UACGAAGGUCCCAAGCGUUAUCCGGAUUUAUUGGGUUUAAAGGGUGCGUAGGCGGGCUAUUAAGUCAGUGGUGAAAGCCCCAAGCUUAACUUGGGAACUGCCAUUGAUACUGAUGGUCUUGAGUACAUUUGAGGUGGGCGGAAUGUGUCAUGUAGCGGUGAAAUGCUUAGAUAUGACACAGAACACCGAUUGCGAAGGCAGCUCACUAAACUGUAACUGACGCUGAGGCGCGAAAGCGUGGGGAGCAAACAGG
rnacentral:rRNA from 1 species